GGGCCUGAUCCAGGCGGCACGUAUACUAAGAUUGGAACGAUACUGAGAAGAUUAGCAUGGCCCCUGUGCACAGAAAAUCUUUUAACAAUAUAAAAAUAAAAACUCCCA